AGAUUAAUCAUCCGAUGUUUGAAGAACUGAUCUUCAAUCGUCUGCUCAUCGAGUUUAGGGUUUUGAUUUAAGUUUCCAUCUGUGUAAGUCAUCAUCAGUUGGGUUUCAUAAUCUGUUAAAUCAGAUUUUAGGGUUCCAUCUAAAUUAGGGUCUUGUUCUUGAUUUGGUUUCGAUUUGUAGGUGUUGGUGAAUGAUGUAUUUGGUUUAUUCAUGGGAAACAGAAGUUUGAUGCUGAGGAGUAUUCUUCGCUAGAGAGCUUGCUGAAGAUGGUUACUCUGAUGUUGAAGUUAGGGUUACUCCUAUCAUCCUAUGAGAAAUGAAAUCAUCAUCAGAUCUAACUCAAGGUGGAAGUUCUAGCUGCAGUAAUCACUUCAAUUGCAAGAAGUGCUGGAGCUAAUACAGUAUUCUACAUUUUUCCUAGUUGAAAGGCGUUUGUUCUCAAGCGCCUAUUGUUUCUUCAAAUGAAUUAGGGCUUUGAUUCAGACUAUGGCGGACAGAUUAUUUCUAUGUGGAAGCAAGAAAAGAGCUGUUAUUGUUACUUUAAAUAUUUCAGACCAAUGGCCAGAGGAUGCUGAAGAUAUCUAGAAGGAGGAGGCAGUGACGAAAUCCCUGCAAGGUCUUUCAAUCGAAUCAGCUUCAGACUUGCAAAAAGUCUUGAGAGUUAACACAUAUACCCCACAGUCGAGUGCUUGUCAGCAGCUAAAGGCAGUGCUUCCUGUUUUUCAAAGUUGUAUGGGGGAAUUGCUGCUCAUAAUUUCUUCUCUUCAUUCCCGAGGACUAGUAUGAAGGGGGACCUUGUGGUGUGUUAGCAACCAUACAGGUGGAUGUAACUUUUUUUCUCUUUUUUGAAUUCGCUCACGUACCAACUCACUUCCUCUAGGUGCUAAGGCGUAUUGUUAGAGCAGGUGCGGC